rnacentral:tmRNA from 1 species
GGGGGCGUCAGGCUUCGACAGAGCCGGAUCGACCUUGGAUUGCGAGUCGAGGCGCCGCUGGCCUCGUUAAAAGCGGCAAAAAAGUAAACGCGAACAACAACUUCGCCUACGCGGCCUAAUUAGCCCGCGGAUCCACCUCUCGGGUUCCCGUCGCGAGAGACUCGGGUCACACACAAACGGGAUGGGCUGAAGCUCUCUGUUCGGGGGCGUAAAGCUAAGAUCAAUCGAACUGGGUGAACCGUAGCCGGGCCUCUUGGGUCGCGGGGCACCGAGAAACAUCGAGAGGAGAUACUCGUGGACGUUUAAGGAAGACGGUUUUGGAACAGGGUUCAAUUCCCUGCGCCUCCACCA